GUCUGGUUGGCUCAGUCAGUAGAGCGUGUGACUCUUGAUCUCAGGGUUGUGAGUUCAAGCCCCAUGUUGGGCA
rnacentral:tRNA from 1 species